CCUCUUUCAGAUAACAGGACAGUCUGACUUAUCAGCAUAGAAAAAUAUUUCUGUCAGCAUUCGGAGAACAUGGGGGUGUCCUAUGGCCAAUCACAUUUGGAAAAACUACACAUUUAUGCCCGUUAUUGGAGAUUCAUAAGACUUUGUAGUUUUUCCAAGCCCGGGGGAAGUAUAAAGCUGAACCAAACAAGAGAAGAUAGAAGUUCUCUUAAACAACAAAUACUGAAGAUGUAUGCUUAUAGCCAACUUUCCUCCUUACAUUUUCUUUAAAAAUAAAUGAUGUAAAAUUAC